rnacentral:rRNA from 1 species
AUUGAACGCUAGCGGCAGGCCUAACACAUGCAAGUCGAGCGGAUGAAGGGAGCUGGCUCCUGGAUUCAGCGGCGGACGGGUGAGUAAUGCCUAGGAAACUGCCUGGUAGUGGGGGAUAACGUCCGGAAACGGGCGCUAAUACCGCAUACGUCCUGAGGGAGAAAGUGGGGGAUCUUCGGACCUCACGCUAUCAGAUGAGCCUAGGUCGGAUUAGCUAGUUGGUGGGGUAAAGGCCUACCAAGGCGACGAUCCGUAACUGGUCUGAGCGGAUGAUCAGUCACACUAGAACUGAGACACGGUCCAGACCCCUACGGGAGGGAGCAGUGGGGAAUAUUGGACAAUGGGCGAAAGCCUGAUCCAGCCAUGCCGCGUGUGUGAAGAAGGUCUUCGGAUUGUAAAGCACAUUAAGUUGGGAGGAAGGGCAGUAAGUUAAUACCGUGCUGUUUUGACGUUACCAACAGAAUAAGCACCGGCUAACUUCGUG